UGAGGAAUAUUGGACAAUGGGCGCAAGCCUGAUCCAGCAAUGCCGCGUGCAGGAUGAAGGCCUUCGGGUUGUAAACUGCUUUUGUACGGAACGAAAAGGCUCUGGUUAAUACCUGGGGCUCAUGACGGUACCGUAAGAAUAAGCACCGGCUAACUACGUGCCAGCAGCCGCGGUAAUACGUAGGGUGCAAGCGUUAAUCGGAAUUACUGGGCGUAAAGCGUGCGCAGGCGGUUAUGUAAGACAGAUGUGAAAUCCCCGGGCUCAACCUGGGACCUGCAUUUGUGACUGCAUAGCUGGAGUGCGGCAGAGGGGGAUGGAAUUCCGCGUGUAGCAGUGAAAUGCGUAGAUAUGCGGAGGAACACCGAUGGCGAAGGCAAUCCCCUGGGCCUGCACUGACGCUCAUGCACGAAAGCGUGGGGAGCAAACA
rnacentral:rRNA from 1 species